GACGAACGCUGGCGGCGUGCUUAACACAUGCAAGUCGAACGGUAAGGCCCUUCGGGGUACACGAGUGGCGAACGGGUGAGUAACACGUGGGUGAUCUGCCCUGCACUUCGGGAUAAGCCUGGGAAACUGGGUCUAAUACCGGAUAGGACCAUGGACUUCACGGUUUGUGGUGGAAAGCUUUUGCGGUGUGGGAUGGGCCCGCGGCCUAUCAGCUUGUUGGUGGGGUAAUGGCCUACCAAGGCGACGACGGGUAGCCGGCCUGAGAGGGUGUCCGGCCACACUGGGACUGAGAUACGGCCCAGACUCCUACGGGAGGCAGCAGUGGGGAAUAUUGCACAAUGGGCGCAAGCCUGAUGCAGCGACGCCGCGUGAGGGAUGACGGCCUCGGUUGUAACGUACCUCAUAGGACGAAGACGCAAGUGACGGUACCGUAUAGAAGAAGCACCGGCCAACUAC
rnacentral:rRNA from 1 species